rnacentral:rRNA from 1 species
GGGCAAGCGUUAUCCGGAUUUACUGGGUGUAAAGCGAGCGCAGGCGGAAAGAUAAGUCUGAUGUGAAAGCCCCCGGCUUAGCCGAGGAAUUGCAUCGGAAACUGUGUUUCUUGAGUGCAGAAGAGGAGAGUGGAACUCCAUGUGUAGCGGUGGAAUGCGUAGAUAUAUGGAAGAACACCAGUGGCGAAGGCGGCUGUCUGGUCUGCAACUGACGCUGAGGCUCGAAAGCAUGGGUAGCGAACA